GCCUGGGUGGCUCAGUCGGUUGAGCCUCUGACUUUAGCUCAGGUCAAGAUCUAGCAGUUCAUGAGUUCAAGCCCCAUGUCAGGCU
rnacentral:tRNA from 1 species